rnacentral:rRNA from 1 species
AUGUAUGCAAGAAAUAGUCUGUGGAUGCUCGGGCAAACCAAAAAAAGGAAACGCACGGAUAUGCCGCUGCGAGUGCCCUGCAACGAACACGGUUCCGCACUAUAUGCCGUGGCCCUGGUCACAAAAGCACAACUUGUCCACAGAGAGGGGACACGCCUCAAAAGAAAAAGAGAGAACCGAAAUGCUCGAUCUGCGGGGUGGGAGGUCGUCGGAAGAACACCUACAGCAAUCCUAAGAUUGUGGUACAUGUUGCCGAGCAAACAACUCAUGAUCCUGCUAUCGAUCAGUGAUAAAUCUAUGCAAGCACGAAAGCAUGUCAAGUAG